UACGUAGGGGGCUAGCGUUGUCCGGAUUUAUUGGGCGUAAAGAGCGUGUAGGCGGCCAGGUAGGUCUGGUGUGAAAACUCGAGGCUUAACCUCGAGAUGUCAUCGGAAACCAUCUGGCUAGAGUCCGGAAGAGGAGAGUGGAAUUCCUGGUGUAGCGGUGAAAUGCGCAGAUAUCGAGAGGAACACCUGCGGCGAAGGCGGGUUGCUGGGCUGACACUGACGCUGAGGCGCGAAAGCUAGGGGAGCGAACGGG
rnacentral:rRNA from 1 species